GAAUAUUUAUUGGAAGAGGUAUGCCAUAAAUGGGCCAAAGGGGAAUUGUAGGAAAAAGAUCUUUUAGAUUUCUUUCCUUUUUUACAAUUCCCUAAUCCUAAUAUCGUAAUCUUUUUUGUCACUACUUCUGGAUCGUAUAUACCGUAUUUGUAUAUAUUAUCAAAAUACAUUAUCUUGAACCACGCGUGGGGGUUAAGUACCAAAUA